rnacentral:tRNA from 1 species
AUCAUUUUAGCAUAUUGGUAAUGUGUUUAUUUUAAGAGUAAAAGAAUUGAGGAUGAUU